UAUUAAUUACUUUUAUUAAUUUCUUAUCAUUUCUACAGAUCGUUCAUGCUCUAGAUACGGAUCUGAAUUGCAAAAAAAAUAAUUUAUCACAUAAGUUGGAAAAUGUGGCGUUUACGUUAAGUGGAGAGGAAACCUCUGCUUGCUGACAUCUGCAUGAAAAUUAUUUCCCUGAAAAUAAACUACUAUUUAAAGCAAAUAAUUUAUUAAAUAUGUCACACUACAUAUUAAGGGACAGUAUGAAUUUAGAGAAUUUUAGUGAGUGUUCCAGUAUGUUUAGAAAAGCUAUUGCAAGAUGAACAUCUGUCAAAUUGCAGACGAAUAACUCGUGUACAAUAUUUCAACUCCAAUUAACCAGCUCUACCAUCAAUUUGCUAUAAAUUUGCUACAUCUUGGCUAUGACUACUGUUGACUCAUAGUUCUAAUUGUUAUAUUUUCCAGAAAAUUACUUCAGUCAGUUAUGCCAGCGAAUCUCGCAGAUGCCGAUCAUACUAGACUGAAGCAAAUAUAUAUUAUAAUCAGACUGACACUACUUACUAAACAUUAAAAUAUACAUAUAACUUUUUUUUAAGACCAUGAUAUAUGAUAAAUUCUACAACAGCAACAAAUAACGGAUUGUAAAAGUAUACGUGUAUGAAUUUUUAUUGAAAGUUUAAUUACUAAGUGCGUCUCAAGGUAUUAAUAUUAAUUUAAAUCGUAGAAGUAAGAAGUUUUAUUAUAACGGUAAAUGUACAAUAAUACGUUGCUACCUUCACUUACAUUACGUCUCGGAAAUUUGAACAAUUUUGAAAGCAUUGAAGUGUUAUUUAUGUCAAAAGUCAUGUUGGUACCUACAAUCACGUUAACUAGACAUACAUUUGAAAUUAUUUUCUUAAAUAUUUUUUUUUGCUUCUUACAAAUAUUAAAUAAACUCGAAUAAUUGCCCCAGAAAUUGCAGAAAUUACA
rnacentral:lncRNA from 1 species